rnacentral:lncRNA from 1 species
CUAUGGCAUCGGCAUAAUGUAAAUCUUGUUGAAUCAUUGAAUUCCAAUGAACAAAAAAGUUCUCCCACUUUUUAGCUAGCAGGAGGAGAAAUUUACAAAUGUUAGUUAAAAUCCGAAGAACAGAUUUUUUUUUAACACUAGAGAUCACCUGCCUGGAAGAAAAACAAAAUAAAAAUGCGAUCCUUUUUAAAGAUACGGCUCGAGACAGCAGGGUUUUACAAUUGACAGUCCCAUCGCGCAGAUCUCACACGCCAGUUGCAUCCAAACCAAUCAAGUUGUGCUACAACAAAUUGCUGGUCUUGAAAAUAAUGAAAUCUAGGAAGUUAAAGCUCAAGAAAAUCCCAAAAAAGCAUAGUAAAAGGUCACACAGUGGUCAUAAGAAUGCUGCUGAAACGG